rnacentral:lncRNA from 1 species
AGUUCUGGACCUGGCAAGGGCUUGUUAUGGUGACAAGAGGCAGGGGAGGCAAGGUACAGAUGUAGAAGGCAGACUGCAGGAAAGGGGUGAAGUAAAGGCGAGAUUCAAGCGACUGUUCUAAAAGAUCUCAUCUUUAUGAUACUGAAGCCAUGUCCUGGAGGAGCAAGCUUGAGAUGAGUCCCCUGGGAAGAGAGAACCUCAAAUGAGAAAUGCCAAUGCCCCCUUCAGACUGGCCUCCAGGGGUCACAGUUCGGAGAUUGUUCUGAGUCUGAGAAGAGACACUGAAUUUCUUAACAAUGUUGAGACUGUUAAAAGACUGUAGGGACCUGGAAAGAUGGAUCAAAUGCAUUUUACAUUAUGGAAUAAUAAUAAUAAAAAAGCUUUAGAGACC